rnacentral:rRNA from 1 species
UACGGGGGGGGCAAGCGUUGUUCGGAAUUACUGGGCGUAAAGGGCUCGUAGGUGGCCAACUAAGUCAGACGUGAAAUCCCUCGGCUUAACCGGGGAACUGCGUCUGAUACUGGUUGGCUUGAGUUUGGGAGAGGGACGCGGAAUUCCAGGUGUAGCGGUGAAAUGCGUAGAUAUCUGGAGGAACACCGGUGGCGAAGGCGGCGUCCUGGUCCAUUACUGACGCUGAGGCGCGACAGCGUGGGGAGCAAACAGG